rnacentral:lncRNA from 1 species
GACACACUUUUUGACCUAACUACUCAUUCUGGUUUAACUGUAAUUCUGUGCUGAGCUGUCACUAUGACAAAAAGUGAUGGGUCCAAAUUAAACUGGAAGAUAUAAUUAAAAAUGUUUCUUAAACAUAGCUACUAUAGUCUGCCAAACCAGUUUGUCACCAGAAAGAGGCGCGAAAUUAUUUUUUUCUAUGGGACACUAAACUCUCGCUCCUACAUAUUCAAAAUUAGUAUUUUCUUGUUACGUUUGUUGUACGUUUUACGUACAAGAGACAAGAACACAAAAUACAGAAUGAAUACGUAAUAUAGAACGUAGCGUAUGUUCGGAAACAGGAGAGUCGUGAAAUGUGUAAUUCUGUGACUCUUUUGUUUCUGCACCGAUCAGACUAUCUAUUUGCUGUCCUCAUUUUGUAUGUUGGUUGUGUUUCCCAAUGACUGCCGCUGGGCUAGCGUUCCAUGAUUACGUGCAAUUGUGACAAUCAGCUUAUUCACGCGUUACCACUAUCUAUAGAAAAAUAAAUCACCUAUUAAGUAGUAGAAGCACUAAUUAAGUAUCAAUUUCGCUCUAAUUAUUAUAUUACGUAUGUAGGUACAGACAAAAAAAAAAGAAAGAGAGUUAACCAAAACUCUAACACUCAAAUGAACAUACAAGUAAUUUUAAGAGCUAGAGGGCGGCCUAUCAACUGAAGCGCCGGCAAGACGCCACGUACAGGGCGUCGCUAGAUGGCGUUGCCGCAGUGAUCAAAAUUAAACUACUGCACUGAUUGACUGAUUACGAUUAGACUAUGGAAAGAUAGGAAGGCCCACUUGCACCAACCACUUAACUCAGGGUUAGUGGGCUGUCAUAGGGCCACUUGCACCAAAGAAAAUGGUAACCCUCCAUUUACCCGAGGGUUAACCGACCAUUUUAUAUGGAAUUUGAUAGAUGACAGCCCACUAACCCUGAGUUAAGAGGUUGGUAAUAAGCAUACUUUUUGCGUUACAUUUAUAUUUUCUAAUAAAAUUCAUAAAAGCACUGGAUUUUACAAAUCACACCGGUUUAUAAAACACAUCUAUAAUUAUAAUAAUUAUACAUAAUGUAAUAUUAUCACUUAUCACACUAUGAUCCCAAGAUAAUGAUAACGUAUCUCAGCUCUUGCAACGCUCAAAACAACCCAAGUGGCUAUCACUCGAUACAUAACAACGCACAAAUAUAUUUCAUUUCAGUGUAAAAUACUUGGAAAAAAGGUUUAGGAACUUUAUAUUGCAAUGGCUCCCCGAGAAGAGAUCAUAUCGCCGCCACCAGAGCGCGCCCCUAUACAAUCUGCCCCCCGCCCCCCAGCCCCCGGGCGAUUGCAGCGCCCUCCGCAGGAUCACCCCGCUGUCUACAUACGACCUCCCGUCAACACCGUCAGGACCAACGUCGCUAUCCGACGCUAGGUGGCACUGUUCAAAUCACGACAACACAAAACAAAAUAAUAUAGCUGUGUAAGCAAUGUCACUUUCGAAAACUUGACAUGAUCAAUUUUAUUUUAAAAGUCAUAUUACUAAUACUAAUUAAGUAUUUAAGAUAAGGUAUCUAUAAUAUUAAUUUAAGUCUAUGUUGUAUGUCUCAAAUAAAUGUUUUUCCAUGAG